UGGUGAAUCGCAGAGAAUUUAAUUAUUAUAAGCUGAUGGGUGCCCCUGAAGGUUGUGAAUCGCAGCUUUUUUUUUAAUAUUUUAAUUAUUGGUUGUACGAACCGUUUUUUUUUUAUUGAUUUGUAUUCAAAGAUACAAUUUAUCAUUAUAAGUCAUUGAGGCGCAAAAAUAAGCAGAGUAAAGGAAUUAAAAAACACUCUACUUACAAUUCUUGAUACAUCUUUUCUUAACUUAUUUUGGUCUUCCUCGGUGGGUGAAAUGUUUUCCUUUUUCCUUGUUUACUGUCAAUGGUUGAAAGACCCUCGAUGGCUAUGCCUAAUCAGGUUUCCUUUGUCCUCUAUGAGGAUCACUUUAUUUAUCCUCUAUGAGGAGCACUUCUAUUUUUGCUCUAUGAGGAUCACUUCACUUGUCUUUUAUAAGGAUCUUUAUGUGUGGGUCCGAACCCACGACAACGAUCACGCAUCCUUUUCCGAGGACAUUUUUGCAUGGCCUCGCGUUGGUCGCCAAUUAACUAAACAGAUUUUAGUUUAAUUUUAAACUUUUAUGAGUUUUUACAACUGACUUAAAAUAUUACUAAUUUGCGGCGACUACGCCUAAAUGCCUGACUUCCCUAAACACUAGCAGUUGUAGCCAGUGACCAAAACCCUUUGAUGAAAUUUGACUCCAGUAGUUAUUUGUUAUUCUAGCUAGUUUGCCGAUGCAUUGUCAACGAUUCAAUGGAAAUGAAAUCGAAUAUGCGAUCGCUGACCCUGUGUGUUUGUUGAUGUUGUUGUCUUGCGUUGACUUGUCGAUUUAAAAAGAUCAGCUUUGAUUUUUCUGACGAUGGCUCUACCGGCAUGUUACGCCGUUUUUCAGCAAAUUAGGAUCACUUUUAAACGAAAUUUAUGGCGUUAUACAGGGUUUGUUCGGAAAGUAAUAGGACGGGGUUCGGUAGAGGGCAUUCCUAGCUAACGAACGAACGGCUUUUCAGCUGUCUCCGAGCACAUGGAGAGUCAGGACAAACAAUUACCGUAGAAUGCCUUUCGUGACGUCUUUAAUGCUUGGAAAUUGCGCUGGCAGCGCUGCAUCGCCACAAAAGGAACCUAUUUUGAAAGUUUUUAAAGAAUUGUAAUGAUUGGUUCAAUAAAUUUGUUUAAUUCGACUCAGUUCUAUUACUUUCCGGAAAAACCCAUUUUCCUCGAACAAAUCAUAAUUUUGGCAAUCUGAGUAGGCUUAUUGCAACAAUUUUAUUUAGAUCAAAAAUCAUCGUUUUUACGGAGUACAAUGCAAAUAUUUAUUCAUUUUUCAAAUACUUUAAUUUUAUUUAACACAUACAGUUAAAACAACAUAUUUUUUCCACGACUGCCAAUUAAUAAUGGAUAUUUAUACAAAGAACCAAAUAUUGUCGAAUCAAAUAUCGUUAAAAUGGGAUUGCAAGGAAUAACAGAAAAAAAGUAAACAUGAUAACUACUUACAUAUAUAAUUUGAGAAAGCCAAGACAUACACUAACAUAAGAAGAUAUUUUGAUGCACUUAUUUGAUAAAACUAAAAACUGAUAAAAAAUAAUUUUAUGUAAAAGGGCUACUCCUACCGCAAGGGAUAAUGUACGACGCACUUCACUCACGUGUGGUGCCCAGGCCGGAUCCCAGCCAGAGCAUGAGUUGCACCUGACCGAUGUACUUCGACACGUAAUGAACUGAGCGACAGACAGAGUUGUCUUAUGGUCCUCGUACGAUGAUUGGAGUUCGAUGAAGGGUAUGGGUGGAAUUGACGUUGGUUCUUUGCUGGCCUCUCGAGUAGAGUGGCGGCGCUGUGUGCGAUCUAUAUCUAUAUCAUAAUUCGGAGGCUAAUGUUGUGCGUUGGAAGCGUAGGUAAAAAUAACUUUUGGUCCACUCUCUUUGUGGCUUGGUGCAAUGCUAUUCUUUGCGACCAAGUUUGGUGCAUAACAUUAUUCGAAUAUUCUAAUAAUUUUGGUGAAAAGGAGCGAAAUCCAAACUAAACACAUUUGAUACUUAUUCUUUUCAGAAUAUAAACUUAGCACCAAUGAAGAUAUCGGAAUAGCAUGAAAUCGAUGUAUCACUUAACACUAAUUGAGAUAGAUAUAGAGUUAUAUUCAGUGUACUAAAGAACGGAAUGCACCUUUCUCGAUAUUUAAAUGACUUUAAUCUUAAAAUAGGCAAUAAAUGAAUUGUUCUUUAUAUUUUGGAUAUAUA